rnacentral:lncRNA from 1 species
UAGUGAGCCUCAAUAGAUGUUCAUUCUUGUCUCAAUUACCACCAUCUUUUGUGGUCAUAGCAGACAGAAUCACAUUCUCCUAUCUUCCUUCAGAGAGUCUACUAAACCCAAAUCACCUCCUUGAAAUAAACUGUGAUAAAAGAUCAAAAUAAUAGCACCAUAAUCUCAGCUAUUGAUGGAACAAAAAAAUUCUGAAACCAUAGUAAUAGAUAUUUAAAAAAAUAAAAAUAAAUAAAAAUAAAAAACCUACCACCUUCCAGGUACCAGGCUAGGUCCUUUUACAUUACUUUGUAAGAUCAUUUUAACAGCUGUACAAAUAAGCACUUACAUUUUACCUCAUUUACAAAUGAGGUUUCAGAAGCCUUUGAGAUUAAUUAUCCUGAAUUAACUUAGACAGUUGAUUAAAAAUGAACACAGAACCAGAUCUUCUUCUAAUGCUUGGCUCCUUGCUCUCGGACUUGGGUUAUCCAGUUUAUGAGCUUAGGGCCAGUGUUCUUCAGUAGCAGUCAUGGUUACCCACAUAGACACACUGAUUCUGUUGGCCACACAAGCCACCUACCUACCUUCAAGUUCAUUUGGUAAAUGUUCUCAUUAUGAGCAGAAGCCAGCAGCAUUCAGCAGCCUGUCCAUAAGGUUUAGAAAGAACAAAGGAACCUCUCUCCUAUCAGUCCCCCUCAGUCCCCUUACUCAUCAGGCAUGCACUGGCAAUUCAAACCUGUAACUUAUAGAGGUCAUUUUGACCUCUUACAAUAAAUAAGUGGCGCUCAAAAGACGAGGGUCCUGAGAGUGCAGGCACACAUAUUCUGCUCCACUUCAGACCCACAUUAAAAACCUCAAAGAACAGCCAGAAGGGAAUACCACUACUCUUCUGUAUACUAGGCUAGUUUAUUUCGGGUUUCUUUAGAACCAAAGAGAAGAUGGAUUGAGUGCUCCAGAAAUUCAAGUAAAUACAGCAAUUCCAAGGCAAGGAAGCUGUCAGGGUCCUCUUAAAGAUUCAGACUGGGGCUGGGAUGAUGGCUCAGCAGUUAAGAGCAUCCACUGUUCUUAAAGAAAAACUUCAGCUCCCAGCACCCACAUCCAAGGGUUUACAGCCCCCUGCAUCUCCAGCUUAAGGGACACAGGCCUCUGUUGGCACAAUUCAUCUUUCCCAGUGUUCACAUAAAGAAAUGAGAAUAAAAUCUUUUUUUAAAAUGCUCAGGCUAUUUAUUUUGAUUUUUAGCAAAUUUUAUCAAAUGCCAAGAAUCUAUUCCACCAAGGAGGGACCUGCAAUCCUCUCAAUAAUUUAUGGACAUUUCACU